GACGAACGCUGGCGGCGUGCUUAACACAUGCAAGUCGAGCGGUAAGGCUCCUUCGGGAGUACACGAGCGGCGAACGGGUGAGUAACACGUGAGCAAUCUACCCUUCACAUGGGAAUAACUUCCGGAAACGGAAGCUAAUACCGAAUACGACCACCGAUGGCAUCAUCUGGUGGUGGAAAGUUCCGGCGGUGAAGGAUGAGCUCGCGGCCUAUCAGCUUGUUGGUGGGGUAAUGGCCUACCAAGGCGACGACGGGUAGCCGGCCUGAGAGGGUGACCGGCCACACUGGGACUGAGACACGGCCCAGACUCCUACGGGAGGCAGCAGUGGGGAAUAUUGGACAAUGGGCGAAAGCCUGAUCCAGCAACGCCGCGUGAGGGAUGACGGCCU
rnacentral:rRNA from 1 species